GAUGAAGAACGCAGCGAAAUGCGAUACGUAAUGUGAAUUGCAGAAUUCAGUGAAUCAUCGAAUCUUUGAACGCAUAUUGCGCUCUCUGGUAUUCCGGAGAGCAUGCUUGUUUGAGUAUCAGUAAACACCUCAACUUCCAUAUCUUUUUUUGAAAUGGGAGUUGGACUUGAGUGAUCCCAACGCUUUUCCUCACCGAAAAGUGGCGGGUUACUUGAAAUGCAGGUGCAGCUGGACUUUUCUCUGAGCUAUAAGCAUAUCUAUUUAGUCUGCCUAAAAAACAGAUAUUUACCUUUGCUGCAGCUAACAUAAAGGAGAUUAGUUCUUGUGCUGACUGAUGCAGGAUUCACAAAGACAGCUUCGGCCGACUUUGUAAACUCGAUCUCAAAUCAAGUAAGACUACCCGCUGAACUUAAGCAUAUCAAUAAGCGGAGGA
rnacentral:misc_RNA from 1 species